AACGAACGCUGGCGGCAUGCCUAACACAUGCAAGUCGAACGAGACCUUCGGGUCUAGUGGCGCACGGGUGCGUAACGCGUGGGAAUCUGCCCUUGGGUUCGGGAAUAACUUCGGGAAACUGAAGCUAAUACCGGAUGAUGACGUAAGUCCAAAGAUUUAUCGCCCAAGGAUGAGCCCGCGUAGGAUUAGCUAGUUGGUGAGGUAAAGGCUCACCAAGGCGACGAUCCUUAGCUGGUCUGAGAGGAUGAUCAGCCACACUGGGACUGAGACACGGCCCAGACUCCUACGGGAGGCAGCAGUGGGGGAAUAUUGGACAAUGGGCGAAAGCCUGAUCCAGCAAUGCCGCGUGAGUGAUGAAGGCC
rnacentral:rRNA from 1 species